rnacentral:rRNA from 1 species
UGAAUACGAGACGCUAAGGCGUCGAAGUAGUGUAUGUCAUACGUCCAAGAAAAGCUUGCACUGUCAUAGAUAAAAAACGCCUGUACCAUAACCGACACAGGUGGGUAGGUAGAGUAUACUAAGGGGCGCGAGAUAACUCUCUCUAAGGAACUCGGCAAAAUAACUCCGUAACUUCGGGAGAAGGAGUGCCUUAUUCGUAAGGUUGCAAUAACAAGAUCCAAGCAACUGUUUAUCAAAAACACAGGUCUCCGCUAAGUCGUAAGACGAUGUAUGGGGGCUGACGCCUGCCCAGUGCCAGAAGGUUAAAGAAGUUGGUUAGCAAUAGCGAAGCUGAUAACUGAAGCCCUGGUGAACGGCGGCCGUAACAAUAACGGUCCUAAGGUAGCGAAAUUCCCUGUCGGGUAAGUUCCGACCCGCACGAAAGGCGUAAUGAUUUGGAUACUGUCUCGGAGAGGGGCUCGGUGAAAUAGACUUGUCUGUGAAGAUGCGGACUACCUGCACCAGGACGGAAAGACCCUAUGAAGCUUUACUGUAACUUGAAAUUGAAAUUGGACUUUAUUCGCGCAGUAUAGGUGGGAGGCGUUGAUUAUAAUCUUGUGGGAUUAUUGGAGCCAUCAGUGAGAUACCACUCUUGUAAUGUUAGAUUUCUAACUUUGAAUCAUUAUCUGGUCAAAGAACAGUUUCAGGCGGGCAGUUUGACUGGGGCGGUCGCCUCCUAAACGGUAACGGAGGCGUACAAAGGUUUCCUCUGAACGGUUAGAAAUCGUAUCUAGAGUGUAAAGGCAUAAGGAAGCUUGACUGUGAGACCUACAAGUCGAGCAGGGACGAAAGUCGGUCUUAGUGAUCUGACGAUACUGAGUGGAAAGGCCGUCACUCAACGGAUAAAAGUUACUCUUGGAUAACAGGCUGAUCUCCCCCAAGAGUUCACAUCGACGGGGAGGUUUGGCACCUCGAUGUCGGCUCAUCGCAUCCUGGGGCGGUAGUACGUCCCAAGGGUUGGGCUGUUCGCCCAUGAAAGCGGUACGCGAGCUGGGUUCAGAACGUCGUGAGACAGUUCGGUCCAUAUCCGGUGUAGGCGUUAGAAUAUUGAGAGGAGCCUUCUUUAGUACGAGAGGACCGAGAAGGACAUACCUCUGGUGUACCAGUUAUCGUGCCAACGGUAAACGCUGGGUAGCUAUGUAUGGAGUGGAUAACCGCUGAAAGCAUCUAAGUGGGAAGCCCACCUCAAGAUGAGUAUUCUCAU